rnacentral:rRNA from 1 species
UGGGGAAUCUUAGACAAUGGGGGAAACCCUGAUCUAGCCAUGCCGCGUGAACGAUGAAGGCCUUAGGGUUGUAAAGUUCUUUCAGCAGUGAAGAUAAUGACGGUAGCUGCAGAAGAAACCCCGGCUAACUCCGUGCCAGCAGCCGCGGUAAUACGGAGGGGGUUAGCGUUGUUCGGAAAUUACUGGGCGUAAAGCGCGCGUAGGCGGGCAUUUAAGUUAGAGGUGAAAUCCCGGGGCUCAACCCCGGAACUGCCUUUAAUACUGGAUGCCUAGAGUUCGAGAGAGGUGAGUGGAAUUCCGAGUGUAGAGGUGAAAUUCGCAGAUAUUCGGAGGAACAUCAGUGGCGAAGG